GCUUAUGGCCAUACCACCCUGAAUGCGCCUGAUCUCGUCAGAUCUUGGAAGCUAAGCAGGUUUGGGCCUGGUUAGUACUUGGAUGGGAGACUGUCUGGGAAUACCAGGUGCUGUAAGCA
rnacentral:rRNA from 1 species